CGGAAGAUGAUGCGCUGUGGUUCAGCGGCAGAUGAUGCGCUGUGGUUCAGCGGCAGAUGAUGCGCUGUCGUUCAAAUUGACUCAUGCUAGCAACAAGUUCUGACUGAGCGCAAUCGUCAUGAGAAGCCAAUACACCGAUGAGUUUCUCGCUCUGUCAUACAAACUUUGAGAAAUAACGAGGACCUCCCUCAAUGUGUUUUGUGCGGGAAAGUUCUUAGUAAUGAGUCAAUCAAAACGAACAAAUUCAUAUAACGACACGUUAUACCCAGGGAAUUAUUUCAGAACAGGGCAGAAUGCUUCAGGAAACAGUGCUUCGACUGUGGGAAAGUAAAUCCGCUAGCAAGGCAGUGUUGUCAUUUUAUAACAGGAGAGGGAAUCCUCUGCAUGCAAACUUGCAAUUUGACAGAGGAUGAGCACAACACUGAUGACUGUGCUGGAGGCCAAAUUGCCAGGAGUCAAACAAGAACAUGUUGGGACAGUAUUCAUGAAAUGGACACAAUGAGCCGUGGGACCAACACUGCUCUCAAGUCAGAGGCAGACACUGAGGGAAUGAUCCAGACAAAACAGCAGUCAGG